AACGAACGCUGGCGGCAUGCCUAACACAUGCAAGUCGAACGAGACCUUCGGGUCUAGUGGCGCACGGGUGCGUAACGCGUGGGAACCUUCCCUUAGGUUCGGAAUAACUCCCCGACAGGGGUGCUAAUACCGGAUAAUGUCUUCGGACCAAAGAUUUAUCGACUUUGGAUGGGCCCGCGUUGGAUUAGCUAGUUGGUAGGGUAAAAGCCUACCAAGGCGACGAUCCAUAGCUGGUCUGAGAGGCUGAUCAGCCACACUGGGACUGAGACACGGCCCAGAAUCCUACGGGAGGCAGCAGUGGGGAAUAUUGGACAAUGGGCGAAAGCAUGAUCCAGCAAUGCCGGGUGAGUGAUGAAGGCCUUAGGGUUGUAAAGCUCUUUUAACCGGGAUGAUAAUGACAGUACCGGGAGAAUAAGCCCCGGCUAACUCCGUG
rnacentral:rRNA from 1 species